rnacentral:rRNA from 1 species
GAUGAACGCUGGCGGCGUGCCUAAUACAUGCAAGUCGAGCGCAGCGGGGACGGGUGAUUAACACGUGGAUAACCUCCUAUAAGACUGGGAUAACGUCGGGAAACCGGAGCUAAACCGGAUACUUAUAGUUGGUUCUGCGCUGCAUGAGCUGGUUGGUAAGGUACCGGCUUACCAAGGCCACGAUGCAUAGCCGACCUGAAAGGGUGAUCGGCCGCACUGGAAGUGAGACACGGCCCAGACUCCUACGGGAGGCAGCAGUAGGGAAUCUUCCACAAUGGACGAAAGCCUGACGGAGCCACGACGCGUGAGUGAUGAAGGUCUUCGGAUCGUAAAACUCUGUUAUUAGGGAAGCGGUACCUAAUCAGAAAGCCACGGCUAACUACGUGCCAGCAGCCGCGGUAAUUC